rnacentral:rRNA from 1 species
ACUCGUCCAUCCUUGGGUGGAAUCUGUGUGGCAUUAAGUUGUCGUGCAGGGGAUGCCCAUCGUUUACUGUGAAAAAAUUAGAGUGUUCAAAGCAGGCUUAUGCCGUUGAAUAUAUUAGCAUGGAAUAAUGAGAUAGGACCUUGGUACUAUUUUGUUGGUUUGCGCACCGAGGUAAUGAUUAAUAGGGACAGUUGGGGGUAUUCGUAUUCCAUUGUCAGAGGUGAAAUUCUUGGAUUUUUGGAAGACGAACUACUGCGAAAGCAUUUACCAAGGAUGUUUUCAUUAAUCAAGAACGAAAGUUAGGGGAUCGAAGAUGAUUAGAUACCAUCGUAGUCUUAACCAUAAACUAUGCCGACAAGGGAUUGGCGG